GGAGGAUAUAGCUCAGUGGUAGAGCACGUGCUUAGCAUGCACGAGGUCCUGGGUUCAAUCCCCAGUACCUCCA
rnacentral:tRNA from 1 species